AGUGAAGCGGCAAAGCUCAAUUUGAAAUCUAGCACCUUCGGUGUUCGAGUUGUAAUUUGAAGAUGGUAACCUUGGGUUUGGCUCUUGUCUAUGUUCCUUGGAACAGGACGUCAUAGAGGGUGAGAAUCCCGUCUGAUGAGAUGCCCAUUCCUAUGUAAGGUGCUAUCGAAGAGUCGAGUUGUUUGGGAAUGCAGCUCUAAGUGGGUGGUAAAUUCCAUCUAAAGCUAAAUAUUGGCGAGAGACCGAUAGCGAACAAGUACAGUGAUGGAAAGAUGAAAAGAACUUUGAAAAGAGAGUGAAAAAGUACGUGAAAUUGUUGAAAGGGAAGGGCAUUAGAUCAGACUUGGUGUUUUACGAUUAUCUUCUCUUCUUGAGUUGUGCACUCGUAUUUCACUGGGCCAGCAUCGAUUCGGAUGGCAAGAUAAUGGCAGUUGAAUGUGGCUUCACUUCGGUGGAGUGUUAUAGCUUCUGCUGAUAUUGCCUGUCUGGAUCGAGGGCUGCGUCUUUUGACUAGGAUGCUGGCGUAAUGAUCUAAUGCCGCCCGUCUUGAAACACGGACCAAA
rnacentral:rRNA from 1 species